GGCCGGCCAUGGAGGAGAGAAAGAGAGAGAGAGUUUCUUCAAUUUUCCUUCAUUUCUAGCUUGAAUCUUGCAAACCUACCCGUUAAAUUCCAAAUUUCUCCACAAAAGUGAGUUGCUAAGCUAGUUUAAGGUGAUUAGUGGAGUUGCUUGGAGGAUUAAGGUGCCAAGUUGUUCCUUUUCUGGCAUUUCAAGGGCUCGAGGCGAAGGAAACGUUUGUAUUAAAGUUCUCCGUGUGAAUAGUUGGAUGAUCCACUGUACCGUUGAAGUUUUAGUUCGACCUUGUGUAAUAUUUGAGACCGUGCUUGUACUUGUAUUUAUAUGAGAAUGGAGGAUCUUUGUUUUAUUCGCGACUUGUAUUGCUUUGAUAUCCUGAGGUUUUAGUUGAUAGUGCAAGUGAUUAGUUUCCGCUUCGUUUGUGAUAUGUAAUUCUUGGAGAAUUUGAUGUAAAUUUGAGAUAUAUCUUGUAA